rnacentral:rRNA from 1 species
GGAUUAACACCCCAUAAAAUCACAGUACAGCAUUGUACAAUGAUCAAAUAUUUAUAGGAUUAAGAUGGGCAUGCGUGACAUUAGUUAGUUGGCGGGGUAACGGCCCACCAAGACCACGAUGUCUAGGGGAUCUGAGAGGAUGACCCCCCACACUGGUACUGAGACACGGACCAGACUCCUACGGGAGGCAGCAGUAAGGAAUAUUGGUCAAUGGAGGCAACUCUGAACCAGCCAUGCCGCGUGCAGGAGGACAGCCCUCUGGGUCGUAAACUGCUUUUAUUCGGGAAUAAACCUACUUACGUGUAAGUAGCUGAAUGUACCGAAGGAAUAAGGAUCGGCUAACUCCGUGCCAGCAGCCGCGGUAAUACGGAGGAUCCAAGCGUUAUCCGGAUUUAUUGGGUUUAAAGGGUGCGUAGGCGGCUUUUUAAGUCAGGGGUGAAAGACGGUGGCUCAACCAUCGCAGUGCCCUUGAUACUGAAGAGCUUGAAUGAAUUAGAGGUAGGCGGAAUGUGACAAGUAGCGGUGAAAUGCAUAGAUAUGUCACAGAACACCGAUUGCGAAGGCAGCUUACUAUGAUUUUAUGACGCUGAGGCACGAAAGCGUGGGGAUCAAAC